rfam:Helobdella robusta unplaced genomic scaffold HELROscaffold_93, whole genome shotgun sequence.
GUCUACGGCCAUAUCACGUUGAAAACACCGGUUUCGUCCGAUCACCGAAGUUAAGCAACGUCGAGCCCGGUUAGUACUUGGAUGGGUGACCGCCUGGGAAUACCGGGUGCUGUAGGCU